GACGAACGCUGGCGGCGUGCCUAAUACAUGCCAGUCGAGCGGACGGAUGGGAGCUUGCUCCCAGACCGUCAGCGGCGGACGGGUGAGUAACACGUGGGCAACCUGCCUGUAAGACUGGGAUAACUCCGGGAAACCGGGGCUAAUACCGGAUAACUCUUUCCCUCACAUGAGGGAAAGCUGAAAGAUGGCAUCUCGCUAUCACUUACAGAUGGGCCCGCGGCGCAUUAGCUAGUUGGUGAGGUAACGGCUCACCAAGGCGACGAUGCGUAGCCGACCUGAGAGGGUGAUCGGCCACACUGGGACUGAGACACGGCCCAGACUCCUACGGGAGGCAGCAGUAGGGAAUCUUCCGCAAUGGACGAAAGUCUGACGGAGCAACGCCGCGUGAGUGAUGAAGGUUUUCGGAUCGUAAAACUCUGUUGUCAGGGAAGAACAAGUACCGGAGCAACUGCCGGUACCUUGACGGUACCUGACCAGAAAGCCACGGCUAACUACGUG
rnacentral:rRNA from 1 species